rnacentral:rRNA from 1 species
GAUGAACGCUGGCGGCGUGGCCUAACACAUGCAAGUCGAACGAAGCACAUUGGAUUGAUUCUUCGGAAGAAAGAGAAUGUGACUGAGUGGCGGACGGGUGAGUAACGCGUGAGGAACCUGCCUUUCAGAGGGGGGACAACAGUUGGAAACGACUGCUAAUACCGCAUGACACAUUGGGGUCGCAUGGCCCUGAUGUCAAAGAUUUAUUGCUGAAAGAUGGCCUCGCGUCUGAUUAGCUAGUUGGUGAGGUAACGGCCCACCAAGGCGACGAUCAGUAGCCGGUCUGAGAGGAUGAACGGCCACAUUGGGACUGAGAUACGGCCCAGACUCCUACGGGAGGCAGCAGUGGGGAAUAUUGGGCAAUGGGGGAAACCCUGACCCAGCAACGCCGCGUGAAGGAAGAAGGCCUUCGGGUUGUAAACUUCUUUUACCAGGGACGAAAAAGAUGACGGUACCUGGAGAAAAAGCAACGGCUAACUACGUG